UACAGAGGUCCCAAGCGUUGUUCGGAUUCACUGGGCGUAAAGCGCACGUAGGCGGCUUUUUAAGUCAGGGGUGAAAUCCUGGAGCUCAACUCCAGAACUGCCUUUGAUACUGAGAAGCUUGAGUCCGGGAGAGGUGAGUGGAACUGCGAGUGUAGAGGUGAAAUUCGUAGAUAUUCGCAAGAACACCAGUGGCGAAGGCGGCUCACUGGCCCGAUACUGACGCUGAGGUGCGAAAGCGUGGGGAGCAAACAGG
rnacentral:rRNA from 1 species